UGCCAGCAGCCGCGGUAAUACGGAGGGUCCGAGCGUUAUCCGGAAUCAUUGGGUUUAAAGGGUCCGUAGGCGGGCAGCUCAGUCAGUGGUGAAAGUCUGUGGCUCGACCAUAGAAUUGCCAUUGAUACUGGUUGUCUUGAAUCAAUGUGAAGUGGUUAGAAUAAGUAGUGUAGCGGUGAAAUGCAUAGAUAUUACUUAGAAUACCGAUUGCGAAGGCAGAUCACUAACAUUGUAUUGACGCUGAGGGACGAAAGCGUGGGGAGCGAACAGGAUUAGAUA
rnacentral:rRNA from 1 species